rnacentral:tRNA from 1 species
GCGAAGGUGGCGGAAUGGCAGACGCACUGGUUUCAGGUACCAGCGGGUAACACCGUGCGGGUUCAAGUCCCGCCCUUCGCACCG